rnacentral:rRNA from 1 species
GACGAACGCUGGCGGCGUGCUUAACACAUGCAAGUCGAGCGGUAAGGCCCCUUCGGGGGUACACGAGCGGCGAACGGGUGAGUAACACGUGGGUGACCUGCCCUCAGCUCUGGGAUAAGCCUGGGAAACCGGGUCUAAUACCGGAUAUGACUCCAUGACGCAUGUUGUGGGGUGGAAAGCCUUGUGCGGCUGAGGAUGGGCCCGCGGCCUAUCAGCUUGUUGGUGGGGUGAUGGCCUACCAAGGCGACGACGGGUAGCCGGCCUGAGAGGGCGACCGGCCACACUGGGACUGAGACACGGCCCAGACUCCUACGGGAGGCAGCAGUGGGGAAUCUUGCGCAAUGGGCGAAAGCCUGACGCAGCGACGCCGCGUGAGGGAUGACGGCCUGG